UUCACAGUCUCCUUUAGGAUGCAGGGCCAAAAAUGGUGUUCAACUGCAGGCCAGGUCACAAGUGCCCUUCUACACUCGUAGGACGGGAAAGUGCCCUGACUGGGCAGGACAGUGGCAAAAUUCCUCUGACUGAGCAAGAAUUGGGUCCCUUUUGAUAUGAUGGCAAAAUGAUGAUCUAUGCACUGUGGGAGAAAAUUGGGGAAGUAGAAGGGAAUAAACCCAAAUACCAGAGGGACAGGCUGGGCUCCCAGGCACUAAGAUUAUGGGCAACUUAGACCCUAAAUAUUUUCUUUGUCAUAAAUACACUUGAAAAGAGCUUGUAGAAAGAAAUUCUUAUAAAUUUGAUGCUUAGGUAG
rnacentral:lncRNA from 1 species